CUACGGGUGGCUGCAGUGGGGAAUAUUGGACAAUGGGGGAAACCCUGAUCCAGCAAUGCCGCGUGUGUGAAGAAGGCCUGCGGGUUGUAAAGCACUUUCGGUUGGGAGGACUGCUUCUAGCACUAAUAUUGUUGGAAGUUGACGUUACCUUCAGAAGAAGCACCGGCUAACUCAGUGCCAGCAGCCGCGGUAAUACUGAGGGUGCAAGCGUUAAUCGGAAUUACUGGGCGUAAGGCGCGCGUAGGUGGUUAGAUCAGUUGGGUGUGAAAGCCCCGGGCUCAACCUGGGAACUGCAUCCGAUACUGUCUAGCUUGAGUACAGGAGAGGAGAGUGGAAUUCCACAUGUAGCGGUGAAAUGCGUAGAUAUGUGGAGGAACACCAAUGGCGAAGGCAGCUCUCUGGCCUGAUACUGACGCUGAGGUGCGAAAGCGUGGGGAGCAAACAGGAUUAGAUACCCUCGUAGUC
rnacentral:rRNA from 1 species